rnacentral:rRNA from 1 species
AGGGGGGGCAAGCGUUGUUCGGAAUUACUGGGCGUAAAGGGCUCGUAGGCGGCCAACUAAGUCCGACGUGAAAUCCCAAAGCUUAACUUUGGAACUGCGUCGGAUACUGGAUGGCUUGAAUUCGGGAGAGGGAUGCAGAAUUCCAGGUGUAGCGGUGAAAUGCGUAGAUAUCUGGAGGAAUACCGGUGGCGAAGGCGGCAUCCUGGACCGACAUUGACGCUGAGGAGCGAAAGCUAGGGGAGCAAACGGGAUUAGAUACCCCGGUAGUCCUAGCCCUAAACGAUGAAUGCUUGGUGUGGCGGGUAUCGAUCCCUGCCGUGCCGAAGCUAACGCAUUAAGCAUUCCGCCUGGGGAGUACGGUCGCAAGGCUG